GAUGAACGCUGGCGGCGUGCCUAAUACAUGCAAGUCGAGCGAAUGGAUUGAGAGCUUGCUCUUAUGAAGUUAGCGGCGGACGGGUGAGUAACACGUGGGUAACCUGCCCAUAAGACUGGGAUAACUCCGGGAAACCGGGGCUAAUACCGGAUAGCAUUUUGAACCGCAUGGUUCGAAAUUGAAAGGCGGCUUCGGCUGUCACUUAUGGAUGGACCCGCGUCGCAUUAGCUAGUUGGUGAGGUAACGGCUCACCAAGGCAACGAUGCGUAGCCGACCUGAGAGGGUGAUCGGCCACACUGGGACUGAGACACGGCCCAGACUCCUACGGGAGGCAGCAGUAGGGAAUCUUCCGCAAUGGACGAAAGUCUGACGGAGCAACGCCGCGUGAGUGAUGAAGGCUUUCGGGUCGUAAAACUCUGUUGUUAGGGAAGAACAAGUGCUAGUUGAAUAUGCUGGCACCUUGACGGUACCUAACCAGAAAGCCACGGCUAACUACGUGCCAGCCGCCGCAGUAA
rnacentral:rRNA from 1 species